rnacentral:rRNA from 1 species
GGGUGCGAUCAUACCAGCACUAAUGCACCAGAUCCCAUCAGAACUCCGUAGUCAAGCGUGCUUGGGCAAGAAUAGAAAUAGGAUGGGUGACCGCCCGGUCAGAAAAUCAUGUGGGCCCCAC